CUUAAAGGAAUUGACGGAAGGGCACCACCAGGAGUGGAAUCUGCGGCUUAAUUUGACAACGCGGGAAAACUCACCAGGUCAGGACACGGUAAGGAUUGACGGACUGAAGGCUCUUUCUCGAUUCCGUGGAAAGUGGUGCAUGGCCGUUUUUGGUUGGUGGAUCGAUCCGUCUGGUUAAUUCCGUUAACGAACGAGACCUCGGCACUCCGAAUAGCGCGGCGGACGUCGCGGCCUCCGGGCCGUCUUCCGCACGAGCUUCUUAGAGGGACCGUCCCCCGCCGGGGAAGGAGGUGCGAGGCAACGACAGGUCUGUGAUGCCCUUAGAUGUUCUGGGCCGCACGCGCAUUACACUGACGCGUCCAACGGGUGACUCCCGACCCGAAGGGGCCGGGGAAUCCGCAAGGCGCGUCGUGAUGGGGGAUUGAACGUUGCAAUUGUUGUUCACGAACGAGGAAUUCCUAGUAGGCGCGGGUCAUCAACCCGCGCCGAUUACGUCCCUGCCC
rnacentral:rRNA from 1 species